rnacentral:rRNA from 1 species
AUUGAACGCUGGCGGCAUGCCUUACACAUGCAAGUCGAACGGCAGCACGGACUUCGGUCUGGUGGCGAGUGGCGAACGGGUGAGUAAUGCAUCGGAACGUGCCAUUGAGUGGGGGAUAACGUAGCGAAAGUUGCGCUAAUACCGCAUAUUCUGUGAGCAGGAAAGCAGGGGACCGCAAGGCCUUGCGCUCUUUGAGCGGCCGAUGUCAGAUUAGCUAGUUGGUGAGGUAAAGGCUUACCAAGGCGACGAUCUGUAGCGGGUCUGAGAGGAUGAUCCGCCACACUGGAACUGAGACACGGUCCAGACUCCUACGGGAGGCAGCAGUGGGGAAUUUUGGACAAUGGGGGCAACCCUGAUCCAGCCAUGCCGCGUGAGUGAAGAAGGCCUUCGGUUGG